CAUAUUGUAUUAUGAGACUAUCCACUUAUUUUUAGAGUUAACGAGUAGAGUUAUGGUAGAAAACAUUAUAAUAAGUUUAAGUGGGCCGAUGUGGUAAAGGGCUCAUUUGAUUGGGAUUGAAAUGUCUUAGUGCCGAAAUGACUAGAAAUCGGAUAUUUUAGGGGUGCCAUACUUUUGCAUGGAUCCCGUCGCACCGAUUGCAAAAAGGAAAUCUGAAAAAAUGGCAGAGACUGAAGACUUUUUGGACAUUUUUGUCAGAGAAUUAUUCAUGGACGGUCUGACAAAUUCGGAAAUUAAGACACCUCUGAAACUUACUAAGAGGAUACAUGUUAGUUUGAAAUACAAGGAAGUGGUCAGCGACUUGGAUGCAGAAUAAUGCGUCAAAGGUACUAGAGAUGAUAAAUUUUCUUCAUUCGGAAAACAUGGAAGCUACAACUUCUAACUUCCUAAUCUAUGAAUAGAAUGCUGAACAGUUCAAACAGUUACUGGCAAACAAUGGCAAAGAAAUGACAUCUACAUGUACUGAAGCAUUAAGUUUAUACUAGUGGCUGAAACUUCGUGUUUAAAGGACAUAUAUAAUUGCAUUAUCACAAACCGUGUAGGCCAUUAAUUUAUAAUUAUAUAUCACCAUUUACAUGCUGAGGAUUUUGAUUAUAUUUCAACAAGCGUAUUGUGUAAGAAGAAUACCAUAGCAAAUGAGCAAACUUAUUCUUUUUAUUAUAGAAAUUUAAAAAAGAUAUGUAAUUUUAAAAUUUGACUUAAAACCCAAGACAAUAUAAAAUACUUGAAAAUGCUGUCAUAUUGUUACAAAUUUCAUAAAUCUCUACAUUUGAAUUUCUCAUAUAAAAAUAGGUUUGGCCAAGAUAGCAAUGGCUGCCCUCAUUACUAACUACAUUUCCAUAGCUGUCCAGGACAAAUACGUAAUAUUUGCAGAAUCUGAAGUUGUUGGAAGCACUUUCAUUGACUGAGAAGAAUAUUACGGUGUGAAUGGUGGUCAUUUCAUUUUUCCAUGUUUAAAAUUGACAAAUUUGUAAUAAAUGAGUAAUUUAUUUUUUAUGGCUAAACGUAUGGUUUUAUAUUUGAAUGAUGUAGUUUGUA